UGAGGAAUAUUGCUCAAUGGGCGAAAGCCUGAAGCAGCGACGCCGCGUGAGGGAUGAAAUCCGUUAGGAUGUAAACCUCUUUUAUAGGGGAAGAAUAUUCCGCUUGGCGGAAUUGACGGUACCUUAUGAAUAAGCACCGGCUAACUACGUG
rnacentral:rRNA from 1 species